GGCGUAAAGAGCUCGUAGGUGGUUUGUCGCGUUGUUCGUGAAAACUCACAGCUUAACUGUGGGCGUGCGGGCGAUACGGGCAGACUAGAGUACUGCAGGGGAGACUGGAAUUCCUGGUGUAGCGGUGGAAUGCGCAGAUAUCAGGAGGAACACCGGUGGCGAAGGCGGGUCUCUGGGCAGUAACUGACGCUGAGGAGCGAAAGCGUGGGGAGCGAACAGGAUUAGAUACCCUGGUAGUCCACGCCGUAAACGGUGGGUACUAGGUGUGGGUUCCUUCCUUGGGAUCCGUGCCGUAGCUAACGCAUUAAGUACCCCGCCUGGGGAGUACGGCCGCAAGGCUAAAACUCAAAGGAAUUGACGGGGGCCCGCACAAGCGGCGGAGCAUGUGGAUUAAUUCGAUGCGACGCGAAGAACCUUACCUGGGUUAGGCAUGCACAGGACGCCGGCAGAGAUGUCGGUUCCCCUGUGGCCUGUGUGCAGGUGGUGCAUGGCUGUCGUUAGCUCGUGUCGUGAGAUGUUGGGUUAAGUCCCGCAACGAGCGCAACCCUUGUCCUAUGUUGCCAGCGGGUUAUGCCGGGGACUCGUAGGAGACUGCCGGGGUCAACUCGGAGGAAGGUGGGGAUAACGUCAAGUCAUCAUGCCCCUUAUGUCCAGGGCUUCACACAUGCUACAAUGGCCGGUACAAAGGGCUGCGAUGCCGUGAGGUGGAGCGAAUCCUUUCAAAGCCGGUCUCAGUUCGGAUCGGGGUCUGCAACUCGACCCCGUGAAGUCGGAGUCGCUAGUAAUCGCAGA
rnacentral:rRNA from 1 species